ACAGAAAACAACAGGCUUUCCCACUUCCAUCUCUGGCACGACCUGUUCUACGGCUCUGUACUCAUCACUCUCCUCCGCCGCCAGCAGUAGCCGCCGGGACAGGAUGCAGCUCCGGGAGGCAAGGAGGCAGCGCCCCAAGUUCUUUCCGGCCUCUCGGACACAAGAGCGCCCCAGAGGGGAAGGAAGCUGCAAGGAAGGGGCUCGGGAACUCUGAGGGGUGGCUCGCGAGGCCAGAGCCCGGAGCUGGGGAAGUGACCUCGGCGGCCAAGAAUGUAGCCUUUGAUGGAAACCUGCAUUUUAAACUGUUACUGGAAUGUUUUUAUUUUACAGUUUAAGGCACAGAUCCUGAAGAGCUGACUCUGCGCAUGGAUGCAGAGUAUAAGUUGUGGCAUAUCCCCUGAAGCAAAAUUUGGCCACAACUCAAAUAUCACAGCUGAUAGUGAAGGCAGGAUGAAGGGAGAAAAAGAAAGGGAGAUGCCAGUUGUCUCUGCCUCUUCAGAAAUGCAAAAGCUUCCCAGAGAACUCCUUGUAGACUUCUACUACUGUGUCUCAACCAGAAGGGUGUCACCUGGCCAUUCUAAAUUGUAAAGGAUGUGGGAAAAUAAAAACAGGAAAAUGGAAGACUGACACAGCCAUGUGUUUCAAGAGAAGGAGAAGAGCGUAUUGUGGAAGUAGAGACUGUUCCUACACGACUAUCACACAUGACUUAAGAAGCUGUUAUGAAACCAACAGCAAUAAGAAUUAUAACCAGAAUAGCAAAGACAUGUUAAUGACAAACAAGGAAAAAACUUAAUGGACUGAACACAAGGGGAAUUACAGCAGUGACAAUGGUGUAACAUGUGUUAAGUAAACAAAAUUUUCUUGGCAUGAAAACCUUUCACCAAUGAUGGGUUUAUAGAAAGGGCGAUUGCAGCAGAAAUUGCAUCCUCAGCAGAAACCAGCAUUUGCAAAUAAAAGUUUAACCAGGUAAAAUAUUUCUUAGCAUGUUGAAACUAGAGUGAAGGGACUUAUAGUACAAAUUUGCAUGAAAAUGUUAAAUCAUUUAUAGUUUUUCCCCUCCAGCCUAUGAGAGUAUAGAUAUAAGAUAUAUGUAUCACCGGGUUAGCUACAGUCAUUUGUGGUGCCUGGAAGGUUUUAAGUAUUUGAAUAGCUUUUGAACGUUGUGCCAGUGAUGGCCACAUCAGGAGAUUAUUUUUGUGUGUUGAGUGAAGUGGGUAAACGGCUGCGGGAUGUGCUCCACCAAGUCAGUGCUAAGACUGGGCUUGUUUUACAAAACUUAAACCCAUGCUGGCAAUUUGCACAAGUCAUACAACGUAUGUUUAUUUCAUAAUUCAGUGGGAAUCACAUUUAACUGAAAGCAAGAGAACAUGUCAUGAAGGUGGCAAUGAAUACUAUGAGAUGGAUGUGCUGCUGUGCUUUGAACAAUACUUAAUGAGUUGUAUGCACAAUAGAGGCAGUGUGAGACUAAAGAGAUUUUUCUUUGGAUGUUUAUAAGAAAUUGGUUUUUGUUAUCUAAAGAAAGUGUUAGCUGAACUCAUUAGUGAAGAUUUAGUCAGAUUGGAUCUCUGGUUGACCUUAUAUACACUCUAUUUCUCUACAAGUGUGUUCACAACCAGUUACACAAAUGAAGCAUUCAUUUUAUUCAUCUAAUUUCUAACCAAAUUGUGCCUUUGGGAAACUCACUUAACCAGGAAAAAUCUAGCCUACUUUCAUAUGCAGACAUCAUUUUCCAGAAAUUUAAGUGGUGACUACCCCUUGUGGAACUAAGAAUUGAAUUCUAAAAAAGUUAUUUGAUUUCAAAAUUUAUAAAAAUGGACUAACUUGGAUAAAUUUUCCUUUUCUUAACUAAUAUUGAUAAUAUGAAUAAAGAGCUAAAAAGUGGAAGUUAGCAUACUGAAGUGUAGUCCUGAAAACUAACCAUGAACUGAAUUCUGUAAAUAACUCAGAUAUUUUAAAUAUGCAAUAAAAUUGAGCAAGGAAUCUAUGUUUUGGAAAAACCACAUCUGUGAAAAAGUUUUACAUUAUUAAUUUGAAUAAAAUUAAUAUUGCUCCCAGAUGACGCAGAAGAAAAAUGUCACAUUUCUCUGGUUCAAGAUAAAAAAAUAAUGAA